rnacentral:rRNA from 1 species
AUUGAACGCUGGCGGCAGGCCUAACACAUGCAAGUCGAACGAGUGGCGGACGGGUGAGUAAUGUCUGGGAAACUGCCUGAUGGAGGGGGAUAACUACUGGACACGGUAGCUAAUACCGCAUACCAUCAGAUGUGCCCAGAUGGGAUUAGCUAGUUGGUGGGGUAACGGCUCACCAAGGCGACGAUCCCUAUCUGGUCUGAAAGGAUGACCAGCCACACUGGAACUGGAACACGGUCCAGACUCCUUCGGGAGGCAGCAUUUGGGAAUAGUGGACACUGGGCGCAAGCCUGAUGCAGCCAUGCCGCGUGUAUGAAGAAGGCCGGCGGGUUGUCAAGUACGUUCAGCCGUGAUGCGUUCCCCUCAGAAGAAGCACCGGCAAACUCCGUGCCAGCCGCCGCGGUAAUAC